AGAACAUGUACGAGAAGUUCUAAGGAAUGGAAAACAUCUUACUAACCGAGAAAUCAGGAAUCAGAUUGAACCACGCGAUAACGUGGAUGCUCGCAUCUUCCCUGAUAAAAUGGAUAGAGGUUACGAUACAUUUUCAGGUUUUCAAUUGUGCUGUUCUAUGUUGAGAAGUUUGCCAAUGCCGAACCGCACGUUGUUUGAUGCCGAAAUGCAAAGCGGAUGAUUGAAUGGACUCCUCCGGUUCGGGUGAGACAGAAGGGAUCAUUAUCAAAAGCCGCCUGCGCCGGUUCUUGCUUAUCUGAUAGUGACGACAGGGAGUACGAUGAUGAAGCGAGCCAGAUCAAACAGUAUUUGGAAUUGCUGUGUAAAAUUCAAGAGGACAAGUACAUUUACCAUAACUAUAUGGAACCUUUGGUUCAUGCUUAUAAAAUGUCCGGCCUGGAUGAAAUUCGGUUAAAUUGCGGCAAUCGAACUCAAUCUGGGAUCCGUUAUUCCAACGUACGAGUUGCAUGCCAACAAGGGUCGUGCCAUUCAAAACACCUUUUGCGAGGAUUAUCUGGUGAAAAC